GUCACGGUGAAUCCAUGGAAGACCUCCAGAAGAGGCUGCACAUUCUUGGUGGACAGCUCUGGUAUCCCAUCCAGGGAACAUGAUGAAAAAUGUCUUCAGAAAAAUAGCUUUAUGAAGGCAAGAGGAAUUUUUGCAACUGCAAGACAUGUCUGAAAGCUCCUCAAGUCAAAAUACAAGUGGUCAAGAGCUUUGUCCAUCUAAUUCCUCAUGCUACUCUGAUCCAAGUGAGACCCACAUUGGGUCAGCUCCAUCAAGCAGAGGAAUAUUUCACCUGCGUUUGGAUUCUGGAAUAUCAUCCUUGCUUCCUUCAGAUUCUUGUAAGUACCUCAGUAGGCACAAGGUAGAACAAUAUGGCAUUCAAGGAAGUCAACUGCGUUGCCCAACAGUAAGAGAAGGACCUUCUGAAGAAGAACACCUUUUCAGACAGCUAGAGUGUAACUUGCCCCCAAGGAAAAGAGUUCUUGAAAAAAAUGGGAAACAUGGCUACAAGAAAACUGGGAAGACUGUAAGAACUUGAACAUUUUAUUUCAGGAUCUGCGGGAUCCUUACCAAGUUGAAAAUUUUAACAGAAUUCUUAGAAGACUAAUUCGAGUUGUAACCCUCUGGUUAGUGGAUAAUUCACUGGUGGACUUAAGUGCCGUAAGAUUGCCAAGGCAAAACAUUCUAACUGACAAGAAAAUCAUGGGUUUUAUACAUAGAGGAUAACAAGUGCUGAGUUACUUGGCUAUGAGGAAGGCUAGGCUCACUGCACACCAGAAGAUGUACAGUGCUGGAGAAUGCAGGAAUUUUUUUAUAAAUCCGCAAUCAAGCUGUAUUUGUGGAAAUUUUGUGCAUAGGUGCCAAAGAUGGCUGGCUUCUGACCAACUCUAUUUAACUCGACUGAACUACACCAAGCUCUCAUCCUAAAACUUAUAGUUACAUCCACCCUUCUGAAGUAUUUAACUACUCUCCAAUACACAGGAGGUAAUAGGUAUAAAAGGAAUGUGCAUGUGUAACUUAGCAUCUCGUAUCUAAUUUUAUGUCCCAAGUUCAUUUUUCUCCUGAAUGGCCCAUGUGUACCAGGUGCAGGAUUAUCCGGAUGGCUCAGUUCAAAACAGUUUCAGGGAAUAAGCUGUGUAGGGGAUACAAUUUUCUGAAAGAGCAACAUAAUGUGAACAACUCCUUUGUUAGAAAAUAAUUUCUGUGACAGAAAGCCUUUCCGUUCAUGAAGAAAACUUAUAAAUCAACAAGCCUAGCUCCUCACCAGCUCCAAUGAAUUCUUGCAUCAAUUAGCUCUGCAAUAUCCAAUAAAGGACUUUCCAAUUGUCCUUUGAAUAAAGUGAGGUAUUAGAAAUAGAUCUAAGGAAACUACUUUUAAUUCUUCCUAAUCUUCAGGGAGUUCUUCCUAAUAUUGAGCUGGUAUCUACCUUCUGCAACUUUCGACUAAUUAUUCACAUCUCUCAAGUGAUUAUAAUUAAUUCCAUCGUAUAGGGAUUUUUUUUAUCAGCUUCCAGGUUUUUGAAAAUACCCAGAUAUUUUCUCUUAUAUUCCAAUGAAAAUGCAAAUGGGUAAAGUAGGAGUCUGUGGGGUGAAGAGGUGGUGGAAGGGUAGGGGAAAGCUAAUGAGAAAUAACCAAAGCAAGAAAAAAGAAUUUUAUUUUCUUCAAGUUCUUUAUACAUCUGAAGUGGAAGAUUACUACAAUAAAUUCCCCAUAGCAAAUUUUAAAAAUUAAGUUAGCAAGCUUGCUUUUUAAUUUCUUUAGAGGCCAACUACUUUUAAUUAUUAUUUCUUUCCAGAAUAGAAUUAUCACUAAUUGUCAUUAUAAUACUAAACUAUGUUAAUAAAUGCCUACUUUUUUAAAGGCUAAUUGCAAUCAUGAAACCAAAUAUCUAAUUAGUUUUAGAGCUUUGGAGCAGAUGUAUUAAUAUUUGAAUCAUUCAGGUGUAUAUUUACUUAUCUGCUUUUUUUUUCUCUUCAAAAUAAGUAUUGUAUGUGUUCUGUUUAUAAUUUCUAAAUGGUCAUUUCAAAACUGAUUAUUGUACUUUACUCAAAUCCUAGUGAAAUUUGUUGCUUAAAACAAUCUUCAUUUUCCUAUAAACUCUCAUUGUCGUUGAGCUAUAUAUAUUUUAUGGCAAUUUUUACUUCACACUUUAUAUGCUAGUUAUUUUUGGCAGUGACUACUACAAUGCAAGUUUUUUCAAGGGCAGAUUCAUCUUAGUUCUUUAUACUCCUCAAAAAAUCAGUGUUUUUCUCAAUGAGUAUUGAGUAGAUGAGUGAAAUUUGAGUGUAUAACUUCUUGAAAUUAUAUUUCUGGAGCUGGACAACUUUUUAAAAAUACAUAUCAUGAGUCUAAAAACAUAAGUUACAUGGCUAAAAAAAUAUUUCGUGAAAA